AAAAAGCAACAGGAGUCUGUCCCACACAGAUGAUCACAGCUCCUCUGAUCAGAAAGCUGCAUCCAUUGUGGCAUAUGCGGAAUACUCUACUGUACCUGGAAUUGAAAAAUCCUAUCUUGUUUAAGCUACUGAAUUACUACUGGGGCCCUGGUUUCAGCAGGAGUGUUCUCUUAGUGAAGUCCUAGGCAGCUACAAGGGGAGAGACAGAGACCUCCUUCAUCUGGAGUUAAGAUUCUUCUGCUCCAACCCCUGUUUCCAACCCCUACCACUCAGCCGACUCCUAUGAAAAUGGUUUCCAAGAGGAGUCUGUUGGAAACAGACUGAGCAGUAAACAUCAGCACCAAAUAACUGCCGCCUGUCUGGGAGAGACCCAGCAAUAAGAAGAGAACCUGGAGACCAGCUUCUGCAAGUCAUGCCCACGUCUGUGCUAAAUGUCACCCGCAGCAUUGUGGGAAGCACAGGCUGCUGCUUUCAGUGAAGGCCUCCAGAGGACAGUGCCCAGACAAUCUCUGUGACCCAUUCUAGUUCAACCGUUGUCCAGUCUUUAGAAGUGGGCCUCACAAUAACCUUAAGAUACCACCUUAGCAAUUUGUGUUUAUUCCUUCUGGCUCCUACUGAUUAGAGGUAGGGAAUAGCCACUCACCAAGUUCUCCACUUAAAAUCAUGCUUUGAAAUACUUGAUAAAUGCAUCUCGUUAACCUAUACUUAUCUAGACCUAAUAAUUUAAAAAACAUUUUAUGUACUCACUUGAUUAUAAUCUUCAACUCAUGUAAUCCCUGCUACCUGAUCCCCAGCUCUUCAAUCCAGUCCCCUAAAAAAAUAAAAAAAAAACCACCCCUGCAGUGCUUUCUUCUCCUUUCUAGGCACCCACCACCCUUCCCUUCUUAAGAACCUUUCCAUCUUCAAUUCACUAACAUCUGAACAGCUGCACAAGCACAAAGUGUUUAAUUUGGGAGCAGUGUCUGUGGGAAGGAACGCUUUUUAAGUUUCC
rnacentral:lncRNA from 1 species